GUAACAUACACGACGGUAAGCUUUAAUUUAUUCUUCAACAGUCUGCGAUUGUAGUCCUAUCUGACAUAAUUAAUAUUUCGUACGGAGAAGAGGAAGACGAGCGAAUUUACGAACGUUGUCAGAUGUGGCACGUAAAACGAGGGAGAAGAGAAGAGAAAGAUAAGUGAUCGAAGGCGUUAGCGGAGGUUAUCGGAUUGGAAAAUGUCAAUCGAGGUUAUUCCUUUUUGGAGUGGUUUCUUUCAUUUUUUUUUUUUUUGGAAACGACUGCAAUUGUAGCGUAGUGUCGGUGAGAUACAGUGUGCGAAUCAGACUGUGAAACGUACGAUACAUUGGUUAACAAAUGAAAUUAAGACAAGUCUCUCUAUGCGAUUGGUGUAACUAUGUAUGUUUCGUCGCCUAGGUAUGAGUUAAUCUUUUGCAUUCAAGGCCUUUUCUUUUUUUUUCUCUUUUGUAGUAUGUAUCAACAACCGUAGAAUGCUUUCUUAGCUUUGUACAAUGUAAAUGCAAAGCCAUAUAUUAGCUUGGAA